UACGCCCUAUAACAACUUACCGUGUAAACAAUAGAUAUGGCAGUGAGUAAAAACUGAAAUAAACGAGGGAUAUAGAUAUGAAAGAGUUAUACCCGCCCGCGUCGUUGCGCGCAGAAGUGGAGUGUCUCGAGGGGGCUAACAAAGCAAGCACCAGCAGGCUAGAAUCAUUUUCAGGGUGGAGUGGAGUGGAGUCGGUAACCUAUAAGUGACGUCCAAAGUGGAACAAUAAGAAAAGUGCACACAUACUGACCACCCGGCCAAACAAGCAACCAAAUGAGACACAACCGACCCAUACUACCGCCUUCCCACGCUAACCGGCAAGGAGCGGCUCUCGGGUAACCCGUGUUCGUGUCCUUGGGAUCGGGGUUGGGUGUCGGCGGUGUAAAGGAGUGAAGGAGUAGGUGGGGCCGUGGGGUAGCGAGGGGGAUAGCAGUGGUGCCGGAGGCGGGAUACUAGAGGCGACGGAGUGCGCGCCAGUAGGAGAGUAGAGAGCACGGUGGUGGCGGCUGGGGACGGUUCGGCAACGCCGCGAGAAGGGUUCGGGAGCGGAGGGCAGAGUGGUUCGGGAACUACGGCCGGGGCAGUCGUACGGUUCCACUACGUCGCUGCCGGCGCGAGCUGUGACAGGAAGUAGCCACCCCCAGGUCGCGGACGCCCUCAUUCGUCUUCUCUAACCACCUCGCCGCCUACGCCCGCCCGUCCCAGUCGCCAACCCCUUUCGAGCAGCCGACCUCGUGAUCCUUGCUUCCUAGAGUUCCACCAAGUCCUAAAGGAGAGAAGAUAUGCGUCCCACGACAUUGUGGGGUCCUUCUCUCCCUCUCCCUCUCCUAGGUCUAGCGCGACCCCCUCCUCUCCAACCGAACCUCUCCUUCCUCCUCCUCUACCUAACGUCUCCCUUCCAAUUCUAAGUCUCAUGUUACGUGCGUAUGAGUGUGGGCCGGUGUCCGCCGGUUAAAUUGGGGUGUGUGCGUGCGGUGAACAGACCGGUCGACCGACCCGGGUGGUCGGUCGAGAAUCCGCGUGAUUGGUGACCAAUCCACACUGUAAGGAGGGAGGAAUUCGACACAGGAGUAGAAGAAGCAGUCAUAGCAGCAGCAAGAGGCGGAGGCGGGUGUCACUACGGCAACCUUUCGCCAACGCGUCGUGCAGCACCAGGAGGGUACAGCAGCCGCGCCUCAGCGGCCACGGGGUGACGUGGAACUCGACGUGGUGGCCGUGCAGCGGCGCGAAGUAGUACGGGGACAGGUCCUACGCCCAGCCGUCCUCCAACAGCUGCCUCUCCAGGCCGCGGAACCCUUCAAGUGGCAUGUGGCCGCAUAUCAGCCCCCACUUCCCGAAGUCAACACUGUGCACUUUCUGUCCCACCUGAACCGAAAGACCGCCGUCCAGCUCGAACAUUCGCUCACGCGGUUAGAAGAGCCACUAGAACUUGCCCGGUUUCAUGAAUUUCCGCUCGAACCGCGUCCCCGCUAACUGGUGGCUUGCGACGGGUAUGCCGACCUCGAACUCGUUGUGAACAAGCGGGAGGACUUUCACGGAGAGACACGCCAACGCCAGUCGCAAGAAGAACUUAGCCACGACACGCGCGAGGUCGACACGCGCCACACGCGGCGGGUUAGGUUGAGGAGCGGCCGGCCGCGGCUGAGGCGGGUUCUUCGGUACCGCGGGUCCAAUCGAAGGCACGGCAUCUCCCGGAACUUCCCUCACGGAAACUCACUGCGUACCUUCCACCUUAACAUGGUCUUGAGGCGGUAACCGUCGGUGGCCGCGGUAACCACGCCGCUCAGCACCUGUCGCGUAGCCUCCAUGUAGAGGUACGUGACUAAGUGGGAAAGUGAGACCGGCAGCCAGACUCCCACUAUCCGACAGCUCAUGUUGUCAAACCACGGUCGCGAGCGCUCGUCGAGCGCGAUCUCCACCGAACACUUCUAGAACAGCGCUAGCCUCUGCUACCUGUGGCCUUACGGCACGUCGAAGUGGUGCAAGAGGGUCUUCCGCGCGCCGUGGACGAACCGCAACUUCCCCACCGCCUCUCCCUGUUUCACCCGCUUGAACCACUUCGCCAGCUGCUGGUGGUACUAGCACAGCACAGGAAGCCUCGCGCCAUCGGGGAGGUGCUUCAGGUACCACUCCAGGACGGUACCGCGGCAACCUUACCCGUCGCCCCGCUCCUCCGGGCGGCCGAACUGUACGAGCACGAACCGGACGACCGUGUGCCACGUGACGACGUGCUUGAGCCGCUGCAGCGCGAACUCCGGCGCGGUCAGCUUCACAAACACGUGCGCGACCAUCCACCGUCACCUCGGCCUCACUGGUGGGUGGCGUGACGUCACGUCGCGCCGCUACUCGAACCACGCGUCCCGGCUUAACCGGGGCUAGGUCUCCGCGGGGACCGCGGACUACUACGGUGCCAUCUCGAGCAUCGGGAUUAGCAGGCCCGACACCUAGCGGUCAACAACGUCAGCAAGGACCCGCAAUCGCAGUCACCGUAUACUCAACCGGUGGAGGACGUGGGUCAACCCGACCGUGCAGCUCUCGCGCCGGUCAAGCUUGACAAACGGGUGAGCGCUCUCGCGCAGUCGACGCGGCAACAGGUCGGGGGAAGACAUGACUUUUGCCUUGACAUUAGGGUGGUCGAAGCGGUACCGGAACGCGACCUCGAGACAGAGGUCCACAACAAGCGGAUCUAAUGUCUCUCUAAACACUAGGCACUACUACAGCUUCCCCGGCGCGACGUUCAUGACUGCGGUGAACAGCUGCCGGUAGUAGUGCCGCUCCUUAAGGAAGAGUAUUCACCUAUCGAAGACCAACGCUUGCGGCUCGCGGAACGACUUCAUACGCUGGCCCACGGGUAGGACGCGCUCGUGGCGCGGGUGCGGGCACAGCGUCCGCAGACAGGGCUAGCACUUGCCGGCGCGUUUAAGACCAUCCCGUUCCUGACCGCACCACUGGUAGCUAACGAACUCGCAGAGCUUGCGACGAACACGAACGCGGCAGGUCUUCUUCGGGAAGAAGCAGUCGUCGACACACUCACCGAAGCGCUACUACGGUAUCACACCCUGCUUGAAGGACAUCAUCGGGCACUCCGGCUCCUUCGGCGUGUCGAGGCACCGCAAGCAGCCACAGCCGGUGACUAGGUACCGGAUGCAGAAGAGGAAUAGACACCGGUACGGGAGGAACCUCUAGUGUACUGGGUCCAUCAGCUACACUAGGCGUCGAUUUCACGUGAACCUAAGGAACUGCUUUUCGACCACACGGGCCUCGUCGAGCUUCUGUUACGCGUCCACAAGGUCCACGAGGAGGUACCAAAGUGACUUCUCUUCCUAUAGCAGUUCCUUCUACUACUGCUUGAACGCCUGUAUGAAUGGUUUGUACCUCAAGUAGUCCGUGACUUUACACCGUCCGCGCAAGCAGUCCGGCUUGCCGUACUGAGACUUGACUUUCACAGGUACCACGCAGAACUUACGGCAGAACUCGAGCAGGAGAAGGGCGUAAGACUAAACCACCAUUGGUCGCGCGUUCAGGUCGAACCUCUUGUGACGACGCGGCCGGUUAAGUAGGUCCUCAAGCAGUUACUAUCCUUCCCCUUUGAACAAGAACUACCACCGCAGCAACUCGGCCGCUAUCAGCUGCGUCUUGGCGGUUCACGGCAGGAAGAAGUGCUCGUCGUGGCCGCGCCGUAUACCUGACUGCGACACGCACUAGUGCGGGCUUAGGUCGUAGAGGAAUUGGACUGCGAGCUAAAGCAGGAAGACGUCUCCGCUCAUCGCUAUGCCCGCGCACAAGCGCCCCUGGCGCGGGAGGUGGUCGCACUGCUGCACCAGCAUGACAGCCACGCCUCCCUCGGGAAAGCCACGGCGCUUGUGCAGCCGCUUGAGGAGCUCAUCCAGCCGCUCGCCCCAAACCGAACGUGUGAACGCUCGGCCAGCGCCGCGCGGCAACGUACACAGGUGGUACCGGUACCGGGUUUGCAGCAAAGGCCGGUGGUAGAACGCGUCGAGAAGCCCAGGAUGCCGGAACUACCUCCACCGGCCGAACCACCUGUGCGGCGCGUCCCAUUGAAGACGCGGCAGCACGACCUUAAAGUGGGUGAACAGAACGGUCACCGUACAGUAGCCUGACAAGACCCGCUCGGUCAGGUACGGGUCUUACGGUAGCAUGCGCGGCUAGAGGUCAAGCACGUACCCGCACAACUUCCACACUGGGACGUAGGUGGUGAACUCCGGCCCGUGGGACGCGCACGUGCACUCGAACAGCGGUAACCGGUGGGCGUGGAGGCAACCGCCGUAAAGAAGGCACCGCUCCGGCUCCGCUAGCUGCUUCCGGAACAACUGCUUUGACACCCACGACGAACUCAGCUCGUUGUCCUCGUACUGGACCAAGGGCUGCUCCCGCGCGUUGGCCUAGCAGCAACACCUCAGACACGGCAGCUCGCGGACCCUGCUCUCCUCCGUCGUGAGACCGCGCAGGCGCCGGCCUCGUCCUCUAACGCGGCGACCGGGGCCUAGCAGCUCGUCAACGUUCCGCACCUACCACAGCAGCCUAUCGUGGAGAGGCACCAGCGGGUGCAACUACCACUCGUUGACGCGCCCGACCCGCGUCGCUACGAGAGACCUCAUGGCUAGGGGUGUGAACUUUGUCUCCAACAAGCGAGCCGCCUUCAGCGCGUCGACGGAGAGGGCGCGCAUGAGCAGGGGAACCCGUGCGCGGCCGCGCCGGUGCCGCGCGACACCGCGCCGGCGCCGUCGACAGCCACCACCAGCCGGUCGCCCACACUACGCCCCCGCACGUGCCAUGCACGGGUCAAGAAGGAGGACAUACGCGCGCUCGUGGCUCCGCGCGCACUACGAACUGCCGCGGACCUCGGCGUGGCCCCGUGCGUCAAGCAGGAAGUCCGGCUCCUCCUUAACGCACUGCUUCUUGAACCACAACUACCUGCCUAGCUCACGCUCGUUCACCAUGUAGACGAGCAGCUUCCGUCGUGCCAUGAGCCGCUGCCACGGACAGACGGCCUCAACGUCCUCGAACACGUAGUGGUAGAGCUUGAGCAGCCGCGGUUUGAGGAGGUCCUAGCGGCUACAUUUGUGCAGGGUACACUACAACACUACGCUAACCGCCUUGCGAACCUCGGUCACACGACGGACCGGCAGCUACAUCUCGCGCCGCCACCGCUGGGUGACCACACGUCGGUUGAACAUCUCGAGCUUCAUCCGCUCCGUCGCCAGGUCGGUAUUCAUGCCGCGGCAAGGCAGCUUGAACCCCUUUGGUACAAAGCCCCCGAACACCAUGAGCAACCUCACCAUCGGGCCGCCUCUGCGCCAGCCUCGCCGCUGCUUGGGAGGGACACCGCCGUGGCCUUCCUCCCCUCCCGCCACUAGCGGGUCCGCGCGCACGCUGCUGCUGCCGGCCAUGCCUAGGCCUCCGCCACCCCCAACGACGCCAACGCGCCCGACCACCUACACGCACCACUGGCUCGGACUACCUCUCCUAGGAAGGCAGCAGAACGCGCACUCCAGCUCCAGGCGGACGCAGUCUAGCUCGACGGCGCGAUCCGGCGCGUAGAGAACGCUCUAGACGCGCAACUUCCGCCGGACCUCGAGCUAGGCGAAGAGCACUCAGCGGAAGACUAGCAGCUAGAACCGCUCGUCGCUGAGGUCGUAGAACCACUACAACCACAAGGGGAGCAGGUACCGCCGGUCGUGAACGGCGCAGCGGCGUCUUCGGAACCUUCAUCGGCAGCAGGACGAGCUCUCCCGCAGCUUAGGGCGCUGCCUAAAACACACCAAGCGGCCUCGUUCGGUGUGGCCGCGCCACCUACAAUGACUGGGGGUUUGUUCACUCCUUGUUUUAAAAAGCCUUCUAAACCACCGAGACUAAUGGUCAACAUUGUGGGGUCCUUCUCUCCCUCUCCCUCUCCUAGGUCUAGCGCGACCCCCUGCUCUCCAACCGAACCUCUCCUUCCUCCUCCUCUACCUAACGUCUCCCUUCUAAUUCUAAGUCUCAUGUUACGUGCGUAUGAGUGUGGGCCGGUGUCCGCCGGUUAAAUUGGGGUGUGUGCGUGCGGUGAACAGACCGGUCGACCGACCCGGGUGGUCGGUCGAGAAUCCGCGUGAUUGGUGACCAAUCCACACUGUCCACGUGUCCAGUCCUCCGGUUUCGAUAAACUGUACUAUUAUGGUAAGUCCGUCCUACCUCCACCACGUGUAUCUGCUCCUGUCGUCGCUGUCCGUUUCUCCAAUAUGUCGUCCCAAGUGCUACGUAAGCUUAAGCGGGUUACAUACACGAACCCGAAACAAAACUAACUACCUGGAAUUUCGACUUCGUAAUUACGUACUUGAACGGUUUACCUACCUCGUUGUCCGUAUCUUCUUUAGGUGUUGGUUAAAAAGAACCGACGCGGUAGAAGGCGACUGUCAUUGAGAUGUGUUGUCGGACGAUUCUAGCAAAGAUCCACUACGACUACUUAGUACAUUCCUACCGCGUAUUGAGUGGUCUCCCUUUUCUAGCUUGAUGCCAUUGGUUUAGUUUGUCUUCUCUUCCAGGUCAACAGCAACGGAAGUGAACGAAACAGCAAAUGGCUAGACAAUCCAACGGCCAAGGGGCUGAACGAUAGUUCCUCUCCCCUCUCUUUAUACCUAACCCUAAGAUCCAUUUGAAAUGAAUUAAACAACGUCUUUUACGAGCCAUCUACAGUAAAUACCUACUCCAACACCGUCAUCAAGAGCCCACAACAGAGAUAGAACUAUUUCGGAAGAUAGUCCCGCGUAAUCUCCGACUUCUUAUCUUUUGUAAACCCCAAAGACACCGUAACUUGUAAGUUGCAAAUACAUGAUACAUGUACGUGCCGGUACGUGCUGGUCAAGUCAUUGAUCUACCGGAAAAGAUGACAUGGCCAAGACGAUGAAAAGUGUACAAUUGAAGAAACUUUUCGCGGUUGUCACACAGGGUGUACAUUUAUCAGGGUACAAUGUUUCUUGUAUUGGUCUUCACACCCCUACUACAUAAUUACCAGCCAGUCCCUUAAGUCAGACCUACUCGAAUUGAUUACUGUAUACACUCAACUCGUACUCCAGUAAAACUUUCAUUGUCUUCAUAAAAUGAAAGGAAAAGUACACCCACCAGCUGCCUUGUAUAUACAAAAUAAUCUAAUAGUCUCCUGUUGUAUAUUUUCAAUAUUUGUUAGUUUCGUCUCAUCCCGUAAAACCUCUGGUUCGAGGUACCUCGGGAAAUAAAACUUAUUAAGUUUGAAGUAUUAAAAUCAAAGUUUUUAAGACUUUUUUUAUGUGUACAUAAGCGCCUACAUUUCACAUACACACUUUUUUAAGUCCUACUUUAUGGAACUUAACGCUCGACAUCUUUUUUUGGUUUUAACAC
rnacentral:rRNA from 1 species